AGUGAACGCUGGCGGUAGGCCUAACACAUGCAAGUCGAACGGCAGCACAGUAAGAGCUUGCUCUUGCGGGUGGCGAGUGGCGGACGGGUGAGGAAUACAUCGGAAUCUACUUUUUCGUGGGGGAUAACGUAGGGAAACUUACGCUAAUACCGCAUACGACCUACGGGUGAAAGCAGGGGAUCUUCGGACCUUGCGCGAUUGAAUGAGCCGAUGUCGGAUUAGCUAGUUGGCGGGGUAAAGGCCCACCAAGGCGACGAUCCGUAGCUGGUCUGAGAGGAUGAUCAGCCACACUGGAACUGAGACACGGUCCAGACUCCUACGGGAGGCAGCAGUGGGGAAUAUUGGACAAUGGGCGCAAGCCUGAUCCAGCCAUACCGCGUGGGUGAAGAAGGCCUUCGGGUUGUAAAGCCCUUUUGUUGGGAAAGAAAAGCAGCAGGUUAAUACCCCGCUGUUUUGACGGUACCCAAAGAAUAAGCACCGGCUAACUUCGUG
rnacentral:rRNA from 1 species